AGAAUUCUUCGAGAAAAUAGAAACAGAUCGAUAAGGAUCGAUGGAGAAGGCUUUAUUGAAGAUGGAUGCCUUCUUGGAGAUAGGAUCUUCACUUCCUCGGCUCCGGAGCUUGUCUACUAACGUUUCCAAGUCGUGAGUCGAGUGGGAUCAAAGUGGAGAUGCAUUAGACUUGCUGCCUCGUUAAAACCCCUUCGGUAAACCCAUUGGGACAAACCUGAAGUUGGGAAAAAGAGUACAGCUCACCUAACGUCUUAG
rnacentral:lncRNA from 1 species